UUAGCUCUCUAUUGCCUUUUGGCUUAGAUCAAGUGUAGUAUCUGUUCUUUUCAGUUUAAUCUCUGAAAGACCUCCACGGAGGUCAAUCGUGAUUAUUCUUAUUUUUGAUCUCUCGGGAGAGUGGCCUCUGCGGCUUGCCGCAUGCCCUCAUGCCCACCGUGUCCCUGGUAUUUCACUGCCUCCAGGAGACGCGAACACCCC
rfam:Colletotrichum gloeosporioides Cg-14 contig01189, whole genome shotgun sequence.